AUUGAACGCUGGCGGCAGGCCUAACACAUGCAAGUCGAACGAGUGGCGGACGGGUGAGUAAUGUCUGGGUAACUGCCUGAUGGAGGGGGAUAACUACUGGAAACGGUAGCUAAUACCGCACACCAUUGGAUGUGCCCAGAUGGGAUUAGCUAGUAGGUGGGGUAACGGCUCACCUAGGCGACGAUCCCUAGCUGGUCUGAGAGGAUGACCAACCACACUGAAACUGGGACACGGUCCAGACUCCUACGGGGGGCAGCAGUAGGGGAUAUUGCACAAUGGGAGCAAGCCUGAUACGGCCAUGCCGGGUGUAUGAAGAAGGCCUGCGGGUUGUAAAGUACUUUCAGCGGGGAGGCGUUACCCGCAGGAGAAGCACCGGCUAACUCCGUGCCAGCAGCCGCGGUGAUAC
rnacentral:rRNA from 1 species